UUUGUAGCAAUACAGAUGCUGGCGACCGGCAAACGGGUGCGGAACACGUACACAACCUUCCUUUAAGUGGGGAAUAGCCCAGGGAAACUUGGAUUAAUACCCCGUAAUAUUAUGAAAUGGCAUCAUUUUAUAAUUAUAGCUACGGCGCUUAAUGAUGGGUGUGCGGCUGAUUAGGUAGUUGGCGGGGUAACGGCCCACCAAGCCUGCGAUCAGUAACUGGUGUGAGAGCACGACCAGUCACACGGGCACUGAGACACGGGCCCGACUCCUACGGGAGGCAGCAGUAAGGAAUAUUGGUCAAUGGACGCAAGUCUGAACCAGCCAUGCCGCGUGGAGGAUGAAGGUCCUCUGGAUUGUAAACUUCUUUUAUCUGGGACGAAAAAGGGUCUUUCUAGAUCAACUGACGGUACCAGAUGAAUAAGCACCGGCUAACUCCGUGCCAGCAGCCGCGGUAAUACGGAGGGUGCAAGCGUUAUCCGGAUUCACUGGGUUUAAAGGGUGCGUAGGUGGGUCUGUAAGUCCGUGGUGAAAUCUCCGAGCUUAACUUGGAAACUGCCAUGGAUACUAUAGAUCUUGAAUACUGUGGAGGUCAGCGGAAUAUGUCAUGUAGCGGUGAAAUGCUUAGAUAUGACAUAGAACACCAAUUACGAAGGCAGCUGGCUACACAAAUAUUGACACUGAGGCACGAAAGCGUGGGGAUCAAACAGGAUUAGAUACCCUGGUAGUCCACGCCCUAAACGAUGGAUACUCGACAUUUGCGAUACACUGCAAGUGUCUGAGCGAAAGCAUUAAGUAUCCCACCUGGGAAGUACGAUCGCAAGAUUG
rnacentral:rRNA from 1 species